rnacentral:rRNA from 1 species
AACGAACGCUGGCGGCGCGCCUAAUACAUGCAAGUCGAGCGAGAAGACGUAGCAAUACGUUUGUAAAGCGGCGAACGGGUGAGGAAUACAUGGGUAACCUACCCUCGAGUGGGGAAUAACUAGCCGAAAGGUUAGCUAAUACCGCGUACGCUCCUUGGACUUCGGUUCAGGGAGGAAAGCGAUACCGUGGGUAUCGCGCUCUUGGAUGGGCUCAUGUCCUAUCAGCUUGUUGGUGAGGAACGGCUCACCAAGGCUUCGACGGGUAGCUGGUCUGAGAGGACGAUCAGCCACACUGGCACUGCGACACGGGCCAGACUCCUACGGGAGGCAGCAGUAAGGAAUAUUGCGCAAUGGGCGAAAGCCUGACGCAGCGACGCCGCGUGGGGGGAUGAAAUACUUUUGUAUGUAAACUCCCUGUAAGGGGGAAAAGUAAUCUCNUUAUUUGUAGAUUGAUUGUACCCUCAGAGUAAGCACCGGCUAACUACGUGCC